rnacentral:lncRNA from 1 species
CUGAUUGAGGGUCCCUUGGGAGGCAUCUGAACCACACCAAAAAUGCAGAGCUGUGGUUGGAAUUUUUAUUGCUCUCAGUAAUUCAUCUCCAGGUGAGACUUGUCAGGGAUUAGCAAUGCAGCUGAUUUGGAGCCUGGAUUCUGUCGCUGCCUUUCCAGAGCCAACCACUUGAUGAACAAGUUUUCUGGCACAGCUGCAACUGGUGCUGAAAGCUUUCUGAUGAAUAAGUGUCCCCUGGAAGAGAAGGAAAGGUUGUAAACUCCAUGGCCUGGUUUGAGGCUCCUGUGAAAUACUGAGCUGUGUGAAACGGCGAGAAACAAAACAGGGCACCACGAAAUCAAACAGGAGCAGAGAAACAAAAGAGAAAUAGAGACAAAAACCCAAAGAGAGGGAGGUAUUUUGCUGCAUUGUAGCAGAUGAAAGUUGGGUGAAACCAGUGAUUUGUGCAAUCUGAGGGUGGCUGGUGAUCAAAGCAAGCAGCGAUUGAUCUGGUGCUGAGCUGCCUGAGGAAAAGGCUCCUCAGCCCUGGUGGAUGAAGGUCCUGUGGUUGUUUAGAGGAGAGGACGCAGAACUGGCUGUGAUUAAUCAGCUCCUUCCCUCUGGAAAAGCUGCAGUCAGCUCCUGGAGCUCAGGGAUGCACGGGAGACUCCAGCAGGAGCAGCAGGGGAUAGAGUGGCUGAGAAUACAGAAAUCAAAAGGAAGGAGCUGCUUUAAUUUUGAUAUAUCCAUGAAUGGUUUCAGUACCAACCUGUGUGGGAAGAUUUUCUGUGGAGGAAGAUAUCUUUGGUGCAGUGGUGGUGUUUUUUUGAAAGGUACAAUCAGCUGCUUUUGUUGCAGCAUCCCAACGUGUGCUUCCUCGUGUGAGUUAAAACCAGUGGCUGAUCCAACCUCUGCUGGAAGUCGGAAAUGGAGCUGCUGCUCACAGCUGCUGAGGGGGUUUUGAGAGGCAGCUUUGCUUUCCAGAUGUCUGGAGUCUUGUCCCUACAGCCAGCGUGGAAAAUAAGUUUUAUGGGCCUAAAGUUUACAGUUCAGCACCUUGUUUUGAUGUCACCUCUGAAUUCUGAGACUUCUGCAGAGAAAUUGGGGGUUUUCCACAUGGGAAGCUUUGGAAAUCUGUCUGUAUUUUUGGUCUAUUUGUGUUUGUACAGCCCCUGGUGCAAAGCAGCUGCCAACUGAAAGGGUUCCUGUGUCCAGGUAACAAUUGAAAGGCAACACUAUUCAAUCAUAAAAUACUAACUAAAAUAUUCCAGUCAUGCAAACAUUUCAAUUUGAAGAGAGUGAAUAUUCCCAUUUUCCUGCAGGAGGACUAAUUCAAAGCCUGAAGUUAAGAAAAACAAUUUUUUCCCCCACUAAAAGUCUAGACAGUAACAGAAUUAACUCCUAAAGAUAAAGAUCUGAAGAUCAGGAUCAAUGUUUAAUUUCAUUUCAGCUGGCUGCUGAUCAGGAAGAGGAAGCAUUACCCACCAUCAGCAGGGCUUUGUGUUUAAAUGAGAAGGCAUCAGGAGGAACAGAUUUACAGGAUGUUCCUUAGUGAUGCUGCAAGAGUCACUCAGAUGCUGCCUUUGACUUCUUGCCUCAUUUCCUUUUCCAGCAUGUGAUUUUUAAAGGAAAGCAAAGCAAUUUGCCCUUUUUGGAUCAUCAGCAAUGAAGCAGUGAAUUCUUUACCAGGAGUUAAAGCCAAGCUGCAGGAGUGCAGCUCGGAGUUGUAGCUGCUCACUGAUGCCUGGUAAAUUGGAUAAUGGUUUUCAGCUUCCUUUCAUUGUUACAGCUGUUGGCUUCAAUCUGGUUUGGUGGUUUGAUUAAAAUAACAUUAUUCCUCUAACUUGGCAAUUGCCUGGUGUUGGGUGACACAAAUGAACUUGGCUUUUUUUUCUGAGGAGAGUUGAGGAUCUGCUCAAGGGGAAAUCACCAACAGGCCCAGAAAACUGAUACAGCAGGGCAGCAAAAUCAAAUAUAGGACUUGAAAAUCUUUACACAGAAAAUCAGUGGAGAAGGAAAGCUGCAGUGCUUUGUGCUGUUUUUAACCCCUCACCCAACCUCACCCCUUUUCCAUAUUGAAGUCUCAUUCCACAGGAAGGGAGGACAAUUUGCCAUGGUGCCAUUCUCACCUGGAACCAGUUUAGCAAUGCCACAUCCCUAAACCUCCUGGAAUUAUUUGAGAAUGUUUAAAAAUGCUCCAAAGAGUGUGACAGCAAACUGAAGUAAACUCUCGUGUGUUAAUCUCUAAAAGAAACUAAAGAGCAAUUCAUAGAAGUGCAAAUAAAGAUGAAAAACUCUUCUCCA